rnacentral:rRNA from 1 species
UUACGGGAGGCAGCAGUGGGGAAUUGUUCGCAAUGGGCGCAAGCCUGACGACGCAACGCCGCGUGGAGGACGAAGAUCUUCGGGUCGUAAACUCCUUUCGAUCGGGAAGAACGGCUGCCGGGUGAAUAUCCUGGCAGAGUGACGGUACCGAGAGAAGAAGCCCCGGCUAACUCCGUGCCAGCAGCCGCGGUAAUACGGGGGGGGCAAGCGUUGUUCGGAAUUACUGGGCGUAAAGGGCUCGUAGGCGGCCAACUAAGUCCGACGUGAAAUCCCCAGGCUUAACCUGGGAACUGCGUCGGAUACUGGAUGGCUUGAAUUCGGGAGAGGGAUGCAGAAUUCCAGGUGUAGCGGUGAAAUGCGUAGAUAUCUGGAGGAAUACCGGUGGCGAAGGCGGCAUCCUGGACCGAGAUUGACGCUGAUGAGCGAAAGCUAGGGGAGCAAACGGGAUUAGAUACCCUGGUAGC